AGUGAACGCUGGCGGUAGGCCUAACACAUGCAAGUCGAACGGCAGCACAGUAAGAGCUUGCUCUUACGGGUGGCGAGUGGCGGACGGGUGAGGAAUACAUCGGAAUCUACUUUUUCGUGGGGGAUAACGUAGGGAAACUUACGCUAAUACCGCAUACGACCUACGGGUGAAAGCAGGGGAUCUUCGGACCUUGCGCGAUUGAAUGAGCCGAUGUCGGAUUAGCUAGUUGGCGGGGUAAAGGCCCACCAAGGCGACGAUCCGUAGCUGGUCUGAGAGGAUGAUCAGCCAAACUGGAACUGAGACACGGUCCAGACUCCUACGGGAGGCAGCAGUGGGGAAUAUUGGAAAAUGGGCGCAAGCCUGAUCCAGCCAUACCGCGUGGGUGAAGAAGGCCUUCGGGUUGUAAAGCCCUUUUGUUGGGAAAGAAAAGCAGCAGGUUAAUACCCCGCUGUUCUGACGGUACCCAAAGAAUAAACACCGGCGAACUUCGU
rnacentral:rRNA from 1 species